rnacentral:lncRNA from 1 species
AAACGGGGUGGAGCAUCACAGGUGAUUCUAAUGAGCAUCACAGUUGGGAAUCAAUGAGCUUCUCUGCUUUUCAGGGAAACUUUGGAGACAGACAUGGAUGGAGGGACAUUGCCAUGUGAAGAUGAAGGCAGAGAUCUACAAGUCAAGGAAUGCCUAAGACUGACAGCAAGACGUCAGAAGCUAGGAGAGAGGCACGGACACUUUCCCUCACCGCCCCCAGAAGGAACCAACCCUGCCGGCGGCCCCUUGAUCUCAAACUUCCAGCCUCCAGAACUGGGAGAUAAUGAAUCUCUGCUGUUUGAGUCACCCCAUUUGUGGCUGUUUGUUAUGGCAGCCACAUGGAAACGGAGGUGUUUACGAUGUUCGUCUAAAAGACAAUUUGUCAUCCACCCACGGACAAGAGUUCAUGCGGGGAGCUGAGGGCCUCAGCACUGUAAGCCAAGGGAACCUGGAGGAGUCUCGCCCACCUGUGCGUUGGGUGAUAGACACGCAGACAGACCUCAGUCCUGGCUGUGGAUCCAGCAGUGGGCCAUGAACUGACUCCAGGUCCUCUCCGCUGUGGUCUGGGAGCCCCUGGAGAAUACUGACUUAAAUAAUCACCCACAGAUGAGACAGCCUUUGUGGAAGUCCAGGAUUCCAACAAAGAAAGUUCUAGCACAACGUUGGAGCAAAAAAAUAUGAGUUUGGACACAUUGCAAAGGGCAAGAGGAACAGUUUGACUUUGUCCACAUCACCUCUCCCCUAAGGUGGCACAGCUCCAUGCCAAGACUGUCUC